rnacentral:misc_RNA from 1 species
UGCAGUAUGUGAAUUUGCUUAGUAUCUAUCUUGGUGCUGAACAGAAAUUGUCGGUUGUUAUUAUGAGUACUUAUCGCAAUAAAUAUACGGUGGAUAGAUAUAUUCCUAACAGAGCAUACAUAAACUCUGAAUUUGCUCAGUACAAUUAUUUGGCUCGUUCUAAUGAAUGCCUAUCCUCCACUCUUAUAGAGCAGAGACUACUAAAUGAACCUUUUAUCAAUACAGCGAAAUAUGCAAAUGUCGUUACUAACUACAGAAAACAAUUACAACAUGCGCUGUUCGAGACUCCUCAUUCAAGUAAAAAGAAAAGUCACAAGAUUAUUCCAGAAAGAGACACAUGGCCUGUAGUAGCGAGAAAAAAACCUUUAAUAGAAAGACCAGUUACUAUUUUAGAUAUGCCUGAUAUCAGUACAACAAUAUACCAUCACGUAAUAGACUGGGGUAAACAUGGCCGACUGGCUACGAUUUUUCACGAAGAAGUACACCUUUGGCCUUCACUGGAUAAUCAGCCGACCAAAACCGAUACUGGCGGUACUAUUCUGGAAUGCGUAAAAUGGAAUCGAUCGGGCACCAAGUUUGCCGUAUCCAGAACCAUAUCCGGGCUCAGUAUCAUGGAUGGCGAAACUUUAAAAUUGGUUGCAAGUUACCCUUGUAAAUGUCCGAUGGAAUGCCACAUAACGAGUAUAGCUUGGACUGAAAAGGAUAAUGUCAUAGCGGGUUGCUCGAGAGGUUGUAUCUCGAUAAUCAGCAAAAAUAGUCCUACGGUGGUGUACUGUCGUCCCAAUAUUUUGCGCGACGAAAUUAUCGACAUAAAGUUAUCGUGUAACGAUAACUACUUGGUUUUAAGAGGAAUGAAAGGAACUUGCGCCAUUUUUAAAAUGCCAGUUGAAGAAGCAAAAGAUCCCUGGUUGACAUUUAAUAAGAAUCGGGGUUUUAUAAAAACAACGGCUUGGCAUCCAUGGAAAGAAUCUAUAUUGGUAGUGGGAGAUUUACAAAACAGCAUUACAAUAUGGAAUGUAAACAGUGAAAAACUGAUAGACCGUGCUAAUCCGAGACCUUUAUUCAAAGAGCCUUACACUUUGGAUUGUCUUACUUUCAACCCACUUUCAGCAGAACUGUUGGUAUGCCUUUUGUACACUCUACAACAUUCAACAUACAGUAAAAUUUUGUAAAAUAGUAUGGAAUGAAAAUAUGAAAUAGUAAAUCUAAUAUAGAAAGUUUUCAGUGAGCUUCUACUGUGAAGAUGCAGAUCAGGAUUCCAGUUUGGGAUACAAUUUCUUAUCAAUUUUUAGCAAUAUUCAAACUAUAGUAGACGAAGUGAAAUUUCAUAAUGCCAG